GUGCUUGGUGGCUCAGUUGGUAGACCAUGUGCAGAGGCUGUAGUCCUCAACGCGAUUGUCCUGGGUUCCAUUCCCGGUCCCUGGACA